rnacentral:misc_RNA from 1 species
GGCAGCAUAAUACACAAAAGUCAAUCCCGCCAACGCAAUGAAUGCUAUUUGAAACACAUUAUACUUGUACAAAUAUUUGAUACCGCGAAGAGACUGCAAUGUGUGUCCAAAGAUUUCUUGUGCUGCAGUUGCUCGUGCAUAGUAUGCAAAUGCCGUGGAGCAAAACUGAAUCACACUGAUAGAGCAGAGGAGGAUAAGCCCCACAUUAAACAGGAAAGAGUUCAUCAGCGUGCCUCCCCACUUCAUCGGAUGAAUUGUAAUAAAAACUA